CGGGGUGAGUAACGCGUGGAUAACCUGCCUCACACUGGGGGAUAACAGUUAGAAAUGACUGCUAAUACCGCAUAAGCGCACAGUACCGCAUGGUACAGUGUGAAAAACUCCGGUGGCGUGAGAUGGAUCCGCGUCUGAUUAGCCAGUUGGCGGGGUAACGGCCCACCAAAGCGACGAUCAGUAGCCGACCUGAGAGGGUGACCGGCCACAUUGGGACUGAGACACGGCCCAA
rnacentral:rRNA from 1 species